AGGAUGAACGCUAGCUACAGGCUUAACACAUGCAAGUCGAGGGGCAGCAUGAACUUAGCUUGCUAAGUUUGAUGGCGACCGGCGCACGGGUGAGUAACACGUAUCCAACCUGCCGAUGACUCGGGGAUAGCCUUUCGAAAGAAAGAUUAAUACCCGAUGGCAUAGUUCUUCCGCAUGGUAGAACUAUUAAAGGAUUUCGGUCAUCGAUGGGGAUGCGUUCCAUUAGGUUGUUGGCGGGGUAACGGCCCACCAAGCCUUCGAUGGAUAGGGGUUCUGAGAGGAAGGUCCCCCACAUUGGAACUGAGACACGGUCCAAACUCCUACGGGAGGCAGCAGUGAGGAAUAUUGGUCAAUGGACGAGAGUCUGAACCAGCCAAGUAGCGUGAAGGAUGACUGCCCUAUGGGUUGUAAACUUCUUUUAUACGGGAAUAAAGUGAGGCACGUGUGCCUUUUUGUAUGUACCGUAUGAAUAAGGAUCGGCUAACUCCGUGCCAGCAGCCGCGGUAAUACGGAGGAUCCGAGCGUUAUCCGGAUUUAUUGGGUUUAAAGGGAGCGUAGGCGGACGCUUAAGUCAGUUGUGAAAGUUUGCGGCUCAACCGUAAAAUUGCAGUUGAUACUGGGUGUCUUGAGUACAGUAGAGGCAGGCGGAAUUCGUGGUGUAGCGGUGAAAUGCUUAGAUAUCACGAAGAACUCCGAUUGCGAAGGCAGCUUGCUGGACUGUAACUGACGCUGAUGCUCGAAAGUGUGGGUAUCAAACAGGAUUAGAUA
rnacentral:rRNA from 1 species